rnacentral:lncRNA from 1 species
GCUUGGCCAAUCUGACCAUUGAUCUGAAAGGCAUAAUAAGAUGGUCAUAUAAUGAAUGAUAAUUUCAAUAUCCAACAGACACCAAGUGUGUGGUACCUCCAAUACCUAUUUAGAAUAUUGGAUGCAUUAUCACGCAUCUUAAUAGGAGGCUAUGAAUUAGUUAUCCCAUAACUGUAUCAUUAAUGAUCUAAUAAUUUAAAAGAUUUGAUUUAAUGAUUGGAGAAUAAGAGA